rnacentral:rRNA from 1 species
AAGAAAGCUUGCUUUCUUUGCCGGCGACCGGCGCACGGGUGAGUAACACGUAUCCAACCUGCCCUUUACUCGGGGAUAGCCUUUCGAAAGAAAGAUUAAUACCCGAUAGUAUAAUGAUUCCGCAUGGUUUCAUUAUUAAAGGAUUCCGGUAAAGGAUGGGGAUGCGUUCCAUUAGGUUGUUGGCGGGGUAACGGCCCACCAAGCCUUCGAUGGAUAGGGGUUCUGAGAGGAAGGUCCCCCACAUUGGAACUGAGACACGGUCCAAACUCCUACGGGAGGCAGCAUG